CCUACGGGUGACUGCAGUGGGGAAUAUUGUUCAAUGGGCGAAAGCCUGCCGCAGCGACGCCGCGUGAAGGAUGAAGGUCUUCCGAUCGGAAACCUCUGUCAGCAGGGAAGUAAGGUCACUGUGCUAAUCAGCAGUGAAUUGACGGUACCUGCAAAGGCAGCACCGUCUAACUCCGUGCCAGCCGCGGCGGUAAUACGGAGGGUGCGAGCGUUAAUCGGAAUUACUUGGCGUAAAGCGAUCGUAGGCGGUAUGUCAAGUCUAGGGUGAAAUCGCCGCGCUCAACGUGGGAACUGCCUUGGAAACUGGCAUACUGGAGUGUGUGGGAGGAUAGUGGAAUUCGAGGUGUAGGAGUGAAAUCCUUAGAUAUCUGGAGGAACAGCAGUGGCGAAGGCGACUAUCUGGCACAUAACUGACGCUGAUGAGCGAAAGCGUGGGUAGCGAACAGGAUUAGAUACCCUUGUAGUC
rnacentral:rRNA from 1 species